UUAACUAUGCUGAAGCACAAGCAUCAGCAAUUAUUUUGCAGUCAGAAACCCUUGCUAACUCAUUAUCCAGAAUAGGUUCAUCCAUGUAAAAGUUAUAAAGAAUAUAUCACACUCUAUAGGAAUAAUCAGCGAGCAUGUCCAGAUGACUACAUAAACAUAUACCUAGAAACCAGUAGCCAUCAUUACAAUCUACUGCUGAAAUGAUCUUACAUCAAAUGUUGUACGGCCUGUAGAACCCUUACCAUAAUAAGCACUAUGUAUUACACCUACAUUCCCUCUCAGUAAGGUAGAUAUCCAUAUUGCUCUUCACAAUCUCUACUACCAAAUCUGGGACGCCAUCUUCUCCAACACUGCCUCUGCAUUAAUUCAUGGAAUGACAUGAGUACGUAAGUAUAUCGAGUAGAAGAGUAAACUUAUCAAAGGAACUCAAAGUAAUGAUACAACUUUCUGCAAGAUACUUAUGUUCCUGAGAGGUGUAUGCACUAGGCUAGCCUGAAUCUAUGAUACUUGCAUAUUUGAAAGAUAUGUGCUAGGCUACACUGAAUCUGUGAUACUAACAUUCCUGAAAUAUAUGUGCUAGGCUAGACCGAAUCUGUGGCAAAUUACUAUCACUAGACGAACUAGAAAGACACAUACAACGAUGAUUUGCGCUAAAUCAAUUGCGUGCCCAACUAAUUUAAUUCUAAAAUUGCUAAUUGACUGGGAACAACAAGCAGCCAAGCAGAAAUCAUUCAUGAGUAUUGGGUAGAAAGCAGCAGCAGUGCUAGUAUUCAAUCAAGUGAGCAGCUAAACACAAGAUCUGCAAGCCACCCACAGCAGACUCAUUGUAAACCUGGGGAGAGCUCGCAAAAACUGCGUACAAUACACCUAGUAAAUUUCCAUGAGAUGCCACAAAAGCAUGCACCCACGGUUUGAUGUUCCAAGAGAUGUCACAAUAUUCAGUCAGCUAUCUUCAGGUAAUGACAAUGUCCACCGCAGGCCUUUCGGGCUUUUGGCAUUAUCCAAUCUGGUCCUGCUUAACACGGAGAAGUACUAGUGUUAUUAACAGAACAAUAAGUUGAGAAAUGCGUAGCUAGCUCAUGCGUGUGAAUCCUAGUUCUAAGCUGUCUGUCAGUGGACAGUCUGGCCAGGUGCCCUAAUCGUGAAUGGCAUGCAGAACCUCGAAACAGAUUUCCACUGGGCGUCCAGAUAGCAACGACUGUGUAUCGUACGCCCUAAAUUAACAGCCAAUAUACAAAAGGGUCAUUGUAGUUGUUGAACAUAAUGUGCAUGUGUUCAGCAGGAUUCAAAUAAUGUGUCCGUGGUUAGAUAAUCAGACGCCUGUUUACAGAACAUGACAUCUUAAAAGUGCAGGAUGAACACAAUCUAAUUCAUCAGUAUGCGCGCAUGUUUACAAAACAUGACAUCUUUAAAAUUUAUAGGAUAAUUCCACUUGAUCCAGUGCAUACAAUAUAUUGUGAUGCGGUCCACUAAGUUCACACCUCACAGCACAAGAAACUAGUACAUAGUAGCAGAAUACACACCCAAAAGUAACACUUACUCUCCAAAUCACAAAGCAAUAACAUACAAAUCUUGAGCAGUUCAACUACACAAGCCGGCGACUCAACGGAUGAAAACAAAAUCACAGAGAUGAAGACAUGAGAGGAUGAUGAGUUUGAGGUUACCUGCCGUCUGGAGGAGAGGAUGCUGGGGAGAGCCGUCACCGGUCUAGUCCAGGCGGCGGAGGUGGUGUCGAGUCCAGCGGCAGUGACGGCAUUGAGCCCAUGCGGCGGCGGCAGCGGCGGCGGAUGAGAUAUAGGAAAGGGUGGCGCGUCGUUCGCUGCUGCUGGAAGCACCUUCGUUCGUGCGACCCCCUG
rnacentral:lncRNA from 1 species